CGUAGGUAACCUGCCUCUUAGCGGGGGAUAACUAUUGGAAACGAUAGCUAAUACCGCAUAAAAGUCGAUAUCGCAUGGUAUUGAUUUGAAAGGUGCAAUUGCAUCACUAAGAGAUGGACCUGCGUUGUAUUAGCUAGUUGGUGAGGUAACGGCUCACCAAGGCGACGAUACAUAGCCGACCUGAGAGGGUGAUCGGCCACACUGGGACUGAGACACGGCCCAG
rnacentral:rRNA from 1 species